rnacentral:rRNA from 1 species
UGCCAGACUCCUACGGGAGGCAGCAGUGGGGAAUAUUGCACAAUGGGGGAAACCCUGAUGCAGCAACGCCGCGUGGGUGAAGGAGCGUUUCGGCGCGUAAAGCCCUGUCAGCGGGGAAGAAGAAAGACGGUACCCGACCAAGAAGCCCCGGCUAACUCCGUGCCAGCAGCCGCGGUAAUACGGAGGAUGCGAGCGUUAUCCGGAUUUAUUGGGUUUAAAGGGUGCGCAGGCGGAGGUGCAAGUCAGCGGUCAAAUUGCGGGGCUCAACCCCGUACUGCCGUUGAAACUGCAUCCCUUGAGUGCGCGAGAAGUAUGCGGAAUGCGUGGUGUAGCGGUGAAAUGCAUAGAUAUCACGCAGAACUCCGAUUGCGAAGGCAGCAUACCGGCGCCCAACUGACGCUGAAGCACGAAAGCGUGGGUAUCGAACAGGAUUAGAUACCCGUGUA